rnacentral:rRNA from 1 species
GGGGAAUAUUGCGCAAUGGGGGAAACCCUGACGCAGCAACGCCGCGUGAAGGAUGAAGGCCUUCGGGUUGUAAACUUCUUUGAUUGGGGACGAAUAAUGACUGUACCCAAGGAACAAGCCACGGCUAACUACGUGCCAGCAGCCGCGGUAAUACGUAGGUGGCAAGCGUUGUCCGGAAUUACUGGGUGUAAAGGGCGUGUAGGCGGGGAUUUAAGUCAGAUGUGAAAUUCCGGAGCUCAACUCCGGCGCUGCAUCUGAAACUGAAUUUCUUGAGUGCUGGAGAGGAAAGCGGAAUUCCUAGUGUAGCGGUGAAAUGCGUAGAGAUUAGGAGGAACACCAGUGGCGAAGGCGGCUUUCUGGACUGUAACUGACGCUGAGGCAUGAAAGCGUGGGGAGCAAAC